rnacentral:rRNA from 1 species
UUCCAGACUCCUACGGGAGGCAGCAGUGGGGAAUAUUGGGCAAUGGGCGCAAGCCUGACCCAGCAACGCCGCGUGAAGGAAGAAGGCUUUCGGGUUGUAAACUUCUUUUCUCGGGGACGAAGAAAGUGACGGUACCUGAGGAAUAAGCCACGGCUAACUACGUGCCAGCAGCCGCGGUAAUACGUAGGUGGCAAGCGUUAUCCGGAUUUAUUGGGUUUAAAGGGUGCGCAGGCGGAUUUUUAAGUCAGCGGUCAAAUCGUGGGGCUCAACCCCAUCCAGCCGUUGAAACUGGGGAUCUAGAGUGUGCGAGAGGUAUGCGGAAUGCGUGGUGUAGCGGUGAAAUGCAUAGAUAUCACGCAGAACCCCGAUUGCGAAGGCAGCAUGCCGGCUCCACACUGACGCUGAGGCACGAAAGCGUGGGUAUCGAACAGGAUUAGAUACCCCCGUAC